UUCACUGGGCUAGCCCUAGAAGCGCUAUGCAGAUUCCCCCUAACUGUGUUUCUAGAAAUAAAUUGUUUCUUCAUUUCUGUUUCAACAUCGACUACAUGUAUAAUUCUCGGUUUCUGUCUGUUCAUCAAAUUAAAUUUGGAUUUCAUGAUUCUUGCUACCAUUCUGUUUCAAUUUGCACAUUGUUUUUUCCUAAUAAAUUUUCUCACUUUCAUUUUCGAAGACGACUUAUGUAUUCUUUCUGACGGAAUUAGUGCUGGGUGACAAGGUAAUUGUGUGUCGUCGUUUUCAAAGAUGACUACUUCUAGCUAGCAUGCGAAGCUUUCGUCUUUUGCUAAUUUGCUAUGGUAGACUUUGGUCGUUCCCUUGUUAAACUAUUCUGUUGACUGUCUAUUGCCUUUCUCUUUUGUUCAUUUGAUGCGAUAAUCUUAAGAUUAUUCGUAUUUCUCACUUGAAUUAUUUCUCAAUUCUCCUUGCUAAGUGUUCUGGAUAUUUUCUACGAAAGACGAGAAGGUUUUGGAUAUAUAAACUGUUAUCUAAAAUAUUCUUCAGAUAUCUUUUAUUAUUAUUGUGUAUAUAUCUCAAUUAUUAUUAUGAGAUAUUAUAUAUUUGAUAUUAUUAUAUAGUUAUUAGUCAUUAUUGUAUUUUCUAUUUUCUUUAUGUAUAUAAUGUAACCUUCAUUUCAAUAAUGGAUAUAACAUUUUUCAAUCAUUCUCUAUUUUCUCGCUCUUAUUUCUAAUAGUUCUAAACAUUAGUCACAAGCCUUCUUCAGACAUCGAAGUUGCCUGUCGCUGAUGUUUUAUCAAUUUCUUGCAAUUCUACUUUUUAAACUUUAAGAGCUCUGAUAUAUUUUAUAUUUUCUUGUACAUUUUUUUUAUUUUCUGAACUGAAUAUAUGAAUAUAUAAAUGCAAAUGAAGUGUUGAGUUGAAGAUAACAACACUUUGCCGAGGUUAUUUAAACAUUAUCCAGAUCGAUCAAUUAGUCGACGCUGACUUAGUGAUCGGUUUAAAUUUCUUUCUGAACAACAUGUUUCUCGUUUCAAAAUGGAUAGGUAAAAGCAUAUUAAGGUACUCGACCUGCCUUCUAGUCUUCGAUCAUAUAGCCAGAUUGAGUCAAUAUGAGCAUAAUGAAAUUCUCGCAGACAAUUUUUUAAGAAAUACUGGAAAUCAAUGAAAAGAACCCCGCAUUCUCACAAAAAUUCUCACACGAUAUGCUGAGAAAACAUACUCUGCAUGAAAUAGAUCUCUCGGGGGAAAAAAAAUUCAGUGAGGAACCCAUUAAUUCUCCCAUAAAGCUGUGAGAAAAAGGGUUUUUUUUUUUUUUUUCAAGUCUUUUGACAAGGUCGAGCUCUGUCUCGAGAUUGUUACCAGGGAUAUUACGAGAAUUAUUGCAAAAUGCGCUUGGAAUUAUCAAGGAAAUGUAAUUACAGAACCUAAUCUCCCUUCUUCCUCAUGGCGCAUGUAAAAUAUUAAAAUUGCUGAUGUGUCGCUCUUCGACACAGUCAAUAGCAUGGAGUGAAGAUGUCACUCUCGUCGCAGAUAUUUGGUAGUGCUUUACAGAUGAUGGGUCUCACUGUCCGCUCCUGAGAGGGUCGUGAUUUAUGAAGCUGAAUAUGGAUUAUCUCAGAGAGGUCGAAUUGACAGCGCUCUGUGUGUAAAUUAGCUGGCCAUGUUUACUACUGGUUUAGAGAUCAGAUGUUUGGGCUUUUGGGCCUUUGCUCAGGGGCCCGAUCCAACAGCAAAGUUCACCGUUGAGUUGACUGCUUUUUCGUUCUUACCAGAGUGCUUUUUCUUUGAUCAGAUGCCUUCACAGCUGGCACUUGAUUAAAGAUGGAAACUUGUCUUGGCCCAAAAAAAAAAAAAAAAAAGAUGGAAGCUUGUCAUUUUAUUUGUGGUGAAAGAAGCCUGGAUCCUUCGUCCAUUGGCCGCCGCCACUUUUGCUGUCUUUGUUGCCUUCUUAAUGACUUCAUCUUAUUAUAAAUAUCUAUUAACUACUUUUUUUCUGAAUUA